rnacentral:rRNA from 1 species
ACGGGAGGCAGCAGUGGGGAAUAUUGCACAAUGGGCGAAAGCCUGAUGCAGCGACGCCGCGUGAGUGAUGAAGUAUUUCGGUAUGUAAAGCUCUGUCAGCAGGGAAGAUAAUGACGGUACCUGACUAAGAAGCACCGGCUAAAUACGUGCCAGCAGCCGCGGUAAUACGUAUGGUGCAAGCGUUAUCCGGAUUUACUGGGUGUAAAGGGAGCGCAGGCGGUACGGCAUGUCUGAUGUGAAAGCCCGGGGCUCAACCCCGGUACUGCAUUGGAAACUGUCGAACUAGAGUGUCGGAGGGGUAAGUGGAAUUCCUAGUGUAGCGGUGAAACGCGUAGAUAUUAGGAGGAACACCAGUGGCGAAGGCGACUUACUGGACGAUAACUGACGCUGAGGCUCGAAAGCGUGGGGAGCAAACAGGAUUAGAUACCCUGGUA